rnacentral:rRNA from 1 species
AUUGAACGCUGGCGGCAUGCCUUACACAUGCAAGUCGAAUGAGGGUAGCAAUACCUUAGUGGCGAACGGGUGAGUAAUAUAUCGGAACGUACCCUAGAGUGGGGGACAACCAGUCGAAAGACUGGCUAAUACCGCAUACGAUCUCUGGAUGAAAGUGGGGGACCGCAAGGCCUCACGCUCCUGGAGCGGCCGAUAUCUGAUUAGCUAGUUGGUGGGGUAAAGGCCCACCAAGGCUUCGAUCAGGAGGUGGUCUGAGAGGACGAUCAGCCACACUGGGACUGAGACACGGCCCAGACUCCUACGGGAGGCAGCAGUGGGGAAUUUUGGACAAUGGGGGAAACCCUGAUCCAGCAAUGCCGCGUGAGUGAAGAAGGCCUUCGGGUUGUAAAGCUCUUUUGUCAGGGAAGAAACGGUGGGGGCUAAUAUCCUCUGCUAAUGACGGUACCUGAAGAAUAAGCACCGGCUAACUACGUGCCAGCCGCCGCAGUAA